UAAUAAACAAUAAUAUUAGAUAAUGUGAAGUUUUAUUUACCGUUGUCGUCGCUGCGAGUUGCAAAACCUUUAUUAAAAUGACGGGUAAAAUGAUGGAAGACGGAGAAAGGAGGAUUGUGAUGAAAGUGUUACAAUUUUUUGAGAAUGAAAAGCUUAACAAAAUGUGUAUUCUGCCCGUAGACCAGGUCAUAAAGAGAACUUGCUUGGCCACUGGGAUUUCGAAAUCUACUUUGAUGAGGCUUAAAAGUGAAGCCAAUCGCAUCGAAAUAAGUUCGCCUACUGCAGGUUCUACAACCGUAAAAUAUGAAAUCUCGCCAAGGCCUAAAACAAAACGCAAGUCGAGGUCCAAUCGCAUUCAGUUGAAUAGUUCUGAUAUUUGCACCUUAAAAAAUAUUGUGGAUAGGUUCAACGCUGAAGGGAAUGAAGAAUCUUCACUAAAUAAGAUAUUAGGUGCGGCUAAAGAAGAACUUAACUUCAAAGGGCAGAAAACUAGUCUCAGAAGAUUGUUGACAGAAAUAGGGUACAAAUACGUGAAAUGUGAAACACCAGUUUCUAAUGAAGUUUUAGAAAGAAAAGCUAGAGAGGUGUUCAAAGUCAGAGGGUGGAGGAAGACUGAUGAAGCAGGUGGGGAUUCUAUUCCUGCAGAAAAAACAUCCACAUCAGCUACAACCACAAUAGUAACAAAUAAAACAGUCAAAAAGCCUAAGGUGGUUAAAAAGAUUUUAAAAUUAUAAAGUCAUUGAACUCUCAAACUCUGCAGGGCCAAGGGAGUUGGCCAUGCCCAUAGGCCCACCAAAAUUUGUGAUUAUAAAAAGAGCAGAUGGUUCUACUAAAGCUGCUAUUAAACGAGGAAGUGUAACAAAUGGUCAAACAAUAUUAAUAUCUCCACCACCAAAUAUGGAGGCACAUAGUCCAGUUCCUGUUCCCCUGACCACUAUCACGGUGACAACUGAAGAGAACAAGAAAUGGCAUGCUGCUAAAUGUAAAUAUGGAAAAAGACAAAAGAUUGAUUCUAGUUUGGAGGAGCCUGAGAUUGAUGAUUCUUUGUCACUUACAUAAGCAUAUCUGAAAAAGCCAUCAUCAUCAUAUAACCAUCGAAGGUGAAGUUGCUGCUUCCACAUGUCAAAAACUUCAUGCCAAGAAACAAACACAUGUAAGAAAAGAAAAAUGUUCUAGAUGGUUCUGGUCUGUGUGGAGUUUGAAAUAAAAUACAUGAAAUGUAUACUGUCAGAAAGGAGGUACCAAGUUUGGUUUAACACUUAGCAUAAUUAAAAAUAGACAAAGAUUGUUCAACAAAUUGGAUUUCAAUUGGAGAACGUUGGUCAAAAAGGAAGUUCCUUAUGGAAAGGCCUGAUAUUGAAGUCUGCAUUUACAGGUACCAAACUCGAGGCAGCCAUAUUGUAUUUCUGGAUGAUACCUAUUCACAUUUCACAAGUGUCUCCACUAUGCUAUAUAACAAAAGCUGGCAAAUAGAAAAUAAAGAUGUCCUAAGAAGGAUUUUGCCAGCGCGCGAUUGGGAUAUAAGUAUAUAAGUCAAAAACUACCACCCAUUCCAAAACGAAUGCCUCAGAUUUUACAAGAAUGGGCGCAACAAACUCGGAGGGUUUUUUUUUAAUUGAAUAAAUAUGUUUACAAAGUAAUAUUGUACAAUUAAACUUAUUAUUUAAUAGCUUGAGGGCGGUCACUCUAUUCCCAAUCUGUGGUAUAUUAAGAAAUCAUUUAUGUUAUAGUAACCUUUACCACACAAACUUUUUUUAACAAUUCUUUUGAACAUCGUAAUACUUUUGUUUUGAACAUUUUCUGGGAUCUGGUUGUAAAAGGAUAUGCAUCGCCCCACAAAAGACUUACUAACUCGACAUAGCCGAGUAGUAGGCAUUAUAAGUUUAAGUUCGUUCCUAUGUUUUGCUAUACAGGAUGUCCCAAAGUUAUGGGACAUGAAGGGAAAGUACCUUAAAUAUCGAAGAUAAUCGAAAUAAAAUACUAUGUUACUUAAGAAGAGUUAAUAGUUUUUGGCCAUUCUUUCGAUUGGCAUCAUAAAAGUAGGGGUGUUUUUUUUUUACAUUUAAGUCGGUCCGAUUCCCAGACGAGGCAAGUAAUUUUUAGAAAAUCUUUGAAUGCAGAAUUACUAACUUUUAAAAAUAACAUAAAGUCUUCUUUCAGUAAAAUAGCCUAUCAUCGAUAUUUAAGGUACUUUCCCUUCAUGUCCCAUAACUUUGGACAACCUGUAUAAUCGUCUCCCGCAAUUAAUCGAUAUCGAAGAGUUUUAAAAUAGUCGUUAAACUCUGUAUCGUUUAUUGUUUAUCUUGGCACUUGGCGGGAAAUACAGGACCGUUAAUGUGAUGUCACUGAACCAAUCACUUGUUACACGAUUUUUAAUUAUAUGUAGUUUUUCCAGUAGUAGGAAAGUGUUUGGUGUUUGAUGCUUGACAUAACAAGAAUGACUGAUCCACUGUGUUGUGGUUUGUUGUCGGGAAGGUUAGAGUGGCAGCUACAUGUUACAUCCUGGCAUUGAAGCGAAUUGCGAAAUUUUUGAGUGUGACCGAAUUGUGGAUAAUAGGACCUAUAAGAGCUUCAAUUAUUAUCUGGAAUUGUUGGUGUUCCGCUAAAGGAUCUGUGCAUAAGAAUUCCCAUGUGGAAUAUUUUUGUUGGGUUUAUGAUAUUUGACUAACUGUGGAUUUGUCUUAUAAUUUGUUUUUUUUUGUCUUAGAAAAUUGGCAUUUGAUUUUAUGUUCUGUGAAAGUAAAAAUAGAAAUAAAUUUAUGCCAUUUUUGAAACAUCAGUCGGUCAAAGUUGUUUACCGGUGCGUAAGUAUUCGAGUACCUAGGUAGGUAGAACUUCGUUCAAAGGUUUAUAUUGAAUAGCACGAAGUACAUUACAAGGGAUUUGAGUGAAAAACAUUUUUAAUUUAUAUUUUUACAAGUUGAAUGGAUAAGGAGUGCAAGAACCCCAAGACAUAUAAUAUAAAAUGGCCGACGUGAAGAUUUACCUCGGUUUAAACUAAUAUUAGAUAUUCCGGCAGUCCGCAGUACAUGAGAGAAUGCCCACAGUUUCUUAGAAGACAGUAUGAGUGCGCAGUUUACAUAUAAUGAUAAACAAACUCAGCAGUCAUAAAUAAAGUUAACGAGCGAAUGAUAUAUGAGGCGACAUCUCAAACUAAAUAAACACUUUUUUCACAUA